CCUACGGGGCGCAGCAGCGGGGAAUAUUGCACAAUGGGGGAAACCCUGAUGCAGCGACGCCGCGUGAGUGAUGAAGUAUUUCGGUAUGUAAAGCUCUAUCAGCAGGGAAGAUAAUGACGGUACCUGACUAAGAAGCUCCGGCUAAAUACGUGCCAGCAGCCGCGGUAAUACGUAUGGAGCAAGCGUUAUCCGGAUUUACUGGGUGUAAAGGGAGCGCAGACGGCAGGGCAAGUCUGAUGUGAAAGUCCGGGGCUCAACCCCGGGACUGCAUUGGAAACUGUUUAUCUAGAGUGUCGGAGAGGCAA
rnacentral:rRNA from 1 species